rnacentral:sRNA from 1 species
GUUAUCUUUUUGAAGUGUAUACAAUUUUAGUGGUCUAGGAGUUGCCCAUGUUAGAGUUACUCAUUUUUAGUGAGUAUUCCAAAGACAGAGAUGUUAAAAGGGAAAAUUAACAUAUUUUGGUGUAUAUACAAUAGGACGGGUGACGAUAUUGCAAUUUCUUUGGGAUUUACUUAAGUCUUCGUCGACUUUGCCAAAAGGGUUGACAUUAACCAACCGCCCACUAAUGGCGAACCGAUAAAAGGAUAAAUGAUCAGCUCGAGCAGACAAAGUAUGUAUGUAUGUUGAUAACUACAAAUUCAAACAGUGAUUUUAUCUACUUUGGCACUGCCAUAAACACAAAAUAAGUGACGUUAGUUUUAAUAUUAAAGAGAGUUCUUGCAUAUGCUUGCAAGGUAGUUUUUUUUAUGAAAA